UACGUAGGGUGCGAGCGUUGUCCGGAAUUAUUGGGCGUAAAGAGCUCGUAGGCGGUCUGUCGCGUCUGCUGUGAAAACCCGAGGCUCAACCUCGGGCCUGCAGUGGGUACGGGCAGACUAGAGUGCGGUAGGGGAGAAUGGAAUUCCUGGUGUAGCGGUGGAAUGCGCAGAGUAUCAGGAGGAACACCGAUGGCGAAGGCAGUUCUC
rnacentral:rRNA from 1 species